UUAUGAUAUGAUUCGUAAUGGGAGCGGUGAUUCAGGCAACCUACUUGUUAAU
rnacentral:sRNA from 1 species